AAAGGGAGACCUAAUUCGGGUAGAAGACGAAAAAAUAGUAGUCGAAACCAAGAAUCAAUCCCAAAAGGUCGGAACGAGGUAUGUGGCUUUCAAACUAGGUUCUGGGUUCAUAAAAGACCUGAAUCAGGAACAAGGGCUAUUAGCUCAGGUGGUUAGAGCGCACCCCUGAUAAGGGUGAGGUCCCUGGUUCGAGUCCAGGAUGGCCCACCUGCACAGGUGGCAAAAACAAAGAAGCGAGGAAUCAGCACCUUAUCUUACUGACAUAGUAAGAGAGAAUGCUGGCUCUGAGUAAAGAGUCCAGAGGAACCUUGAAAACUGCAUAGAGCUAGGUGAAAAAGCCAAAAAAGAAGACCGCAAG
rnacentral:tRNA from 1 species